UAAGGAAUAUUGGUCAAUGGACGCAAGUCUGAACCAGCCAUGCCGCGUGGAGGAUUAAGGCCCUCUGGGUUGUAAACUCCUUUUAUCUGGGAAGAAAUGUACUUUUUCUUGAGUACUUGACGGUACCAGAGGAAUAAGCACCGGCUAACUCCGUGCCAGCAGCCGCGGUAAUACGGAGGGUGCAAGCGUUAUCCGGAUUCACUGGGUUUAAAGGGUGCGUAGGUGGGCAGGUAAGUCAGUGGUGAAAUCUCCGGGCUUAACCCGGAAACGGCCGUUGAGACUAUUUGUCUUGAAAAUUGGGGAGGUAAGCGUAAUAUGUCAUGUAGCGGUGAAAUGCUGAGAUAUGACAUAGAACACCAAUUGCGAAGGCAGCUUACUACACAAUCAUUGACGCUGGGGCACGAAAGCGUGGGG
rnacentral:rRNA from 1 species